rnacentral:rRNA from 1 species
UGCCGCGUGAGUGAAGAAGGCCUUUGGGUUGUAAAGCUCUUUUGUAGGGGAAGAUAAUGACUGUACCCUAAGAAUAAGGUCCGGCUAACUUCGUGCCAGCAGCCGCGGUAAUACGAAGGGACCUAGCGUAGUUCGGAAUUACUGGGCGUAAAGCGCGCGUAGGCCGUUGAGUUAGUUAAUUGUGAAAUCCCAAAGCUUAACUUUGGAACUGCAAUUAAAACUGCUCGACUAGAGUUUGAUAGAGGAAAGCGGAAUACAUAGUGUAGAGGUGAAAUUCGUAGAUAUUAUGUAGAACACCAGUUGCGAAGGCGGCUUUCUGGGUCAACACUGACGCUGAGGCGCGAAAGUAUGGGUAGCAAAGAGGAUUAGAUACCCUCGUAGUCCAUACCAUAAACGAUGAUUGCUAGAUGUUGGAAAUUUAUUUUCAGUAUCGCAGCUAACGCAUUAAGCAAUCCGCCUGGGGAGUACGACCGCAAGGUUAAAACUCAAAUGAAUUGACGGGGACCCGCACAAGCGGUGGAGCAUGUGGUUUAAUUCGAAGAUACGCGCAGAACCUUUACAAGCCUUGACAUGUCUGUCGCGAGUUU